rnacentral:misc_RNA from 1 species
AAAAAAAAAAAAAAAAAAAAAAGUAAAAAAAAAUAAAAAAAAAAAAAGAAAAAAAAAACUUUUGGGCGAUGAAUAUAAGGGAAGAAGAAACACUACCACAAAAGAAAACUGCCUAGCAUUAAUAUCAUAGGUUUGUUGAGUUUCAAUAAAUGCAGGAGUGGACCUUUCUCAGAAAGGGGCUUUCUUCGUUCUGAAUGCGAUAGUCAUCGUUCAUUACGAUACUGCUCACUUUCAACCAAGAGCUUUGAAUGGAAUUUUUUUAUUUUUUCGGAAGAUAAGGUACAAUUCCAUUAAAACUUUACAAAUCCUGGACUUUCAUUCAGCAAUAUAAGGACUCAAGAGGCUCAGAGACCCAGUCCUAACACGGAGCUCUAUACAUUAUCAAAGUUUAUAUAUAUAUUGCCAACAAGAAAGAAAUCGCACGAGAUAGUAAUGGCAGGAAAUCCAUAAAAAUCACUUAAAUCGUAUUCUAUUAAUAUUUAUUAUUAAUUAUUUAAAUUUUUUUUAAACUCGAU